rnacentral:rRNA from 1 species
UCGAGAAUUUUUCACAAUGGUCGCAAGACUGAUGGAGCGACGCCGCGUGGAGGAUGAAGGUUUUCGGAUUGUAAACUCCUGUCACUGCAGAACAAGGUUAUGCGAUUGAACAUUUCGUGUAAUUGAUGGUAUGCGGAGAGGAAGGGACGGCUAACUCUGUGCCAGCAGCCGCGGUAAGACAGAGGUCCCGAGCGUUGUUCGGAUUCAUUGGGCGUAAAGGGUGUGUAGGAGGUCGGGUAAGUCAGGUGUGAAAUCUCAGAGCUUAACUCUGAAACUGCGCUUGAUACUGCCCGGCUAGAGGAUCGGAGGGGGUAACGGAAUUCAUGGUGUAGCAGUGAAAUGCGUAGAUAUCAUGAGGAACACCGGUGGCGAAGGCGGUUACCUGGAAGAUUCCUGACUCUGAAACACGAAAGCCAGGGGAGCAAACGGGAUUAGAUACCCCCGUAGUCC